rnacentral:rRNA from 1 species
CCAUUUAGUGGGGAAUAACUGUUGGAAACGACAGCUAAUACCGCAUAAUAUUGCUGGAUAAUUUCCAGUAAUGAAAGGAGCUUUCAAGCUCCGCUGAUUGAUGAGGAUGCGGCGCAUUAGCUAGUUGGUAGGGUAAUGGCCUACCAAGGCAAUGAUGCGUAGCCGAUCUGAGAGGAUGAACGGCCACAUUGGGACUGAGACACGGCCCAAACUUCUACGGAAGGCAGCAGUAGGGAAUUUUUCACAAUGGGCGAAAGCCUGAUGGAGCAAUGCCGCGUGACUGAUGAAGGUCUUCGGAUUGUAAAGGUCUGUUGUAAGGGAAGAAAUGGUAAAACAGGAAAUGGUUUUAUCUAUGACGGUACCUUACCAGAAAGCCACGGCUAACUAUGUGCCAGCAGCCGCGGUAAUACAUAGGUGGCAAGCGUUAUCCGGAUUUAUUGGGCGUAAAGGGUGCGUANACGGUUUUGCAAGUCUGAGGUUAAAUUUAGGAGCUCAACUCCUAAUCGCCUUGNAAACUACNAGACUAGAGUAUA